rnacentral:lncRNA from 1 species
AGAAGGACAGCUUUAUAUGCUGCGGUCUGGCUUAAAAUAUUAGAGCAUUAAAGUAAUUAAAUCAACUAGGCUUUUUAAGUGGGCUAUCCACAAUUUAUACUUCUUCUAUUGCGUGGCUUGAAGUUUGGACCGCCGAUUCUUCCUCUGCAAUAAUUAGUGGACUCGCCGGAACCCUAGAAACCGCGACUUGCAACCAUGGGUAAUUUUUUAUGCUUUUUUUUUUUUUUUUUUUUUUGUGUAUAUGUCCUUGGAUUAUUUCGAUUCCCG